rnacentral:rRNA from 1 species
AUAUAGAUUAAGUUAUUAAGGGCGCACGGUGGAUGCCUUGGCACUAGAAGCCGAUGAAGGACGUUACUAACGACGAUAUGCUUUGGGGAGCUGUAAGUAAGCUUUGAUCCAGAGAUUUCCGAAUGGGGAAACCCAGCACGAGUUAUGUCGUGUUAUCUGCAUGUGAAUAC